GCUGAGAUUCGAAUACCAUUCUCCUUGCGUGGGUGUUGAACAGAGGAGAACUGAAUUAUUUUGGUUUUGCCUUGACUUUUUCAGUCAUAAUUCUCAGGGCAACUUUUCUCAGCGACCAGGCCUUCAUUCCACCCCUCUCUCUCUCUCUCUCUCUCUGUCUCUGUCUCUGCAGGAUUGUGUGAUUAAGUGCCAACCUCCUGCUUGGCAGUGCCUCUGCUUAACAUCACUCAAGACGACAGACCGACUGACGGAAAUGAAUGUCUUUCUGGGUGAAGGAAAGGAACAAGAUUUAUCUACUGACUGCCCUUGGCUUCCAGACAGAAGGUAGCGAUGUCCGGGGACAUUCGCAGCUGUAACCGCUGAAGAACGGAGCAAAGGUAUCGGGGAGUGAUUGGAUGAUCACAAGUGCUGAUAAAAUAUGUUGUUGACUCCAGCAAUGGCUGAAGGUGAAGGGACCUUGUCAUUAUCUCAUCAACACUCCUGGUGCCAAAAUACAUUGUUCAGCUCUUGUCUCAUCGAACGACAUGCGUAUCCAUACAAAGAAUGCGCUGCUCUUCUCCAGAAGACAGAGACCGCUGUCUUCACGAUGGUGGCAUCAACAGGAGAUUACCACUGGUUUGUUAUCCUCAGUCUCACCCCCUCUUAAUAUCUGCCUCCCUCAAUCCCAACCCUCCCAUCAUUUCACACCAAGGGUGGUGGGCGUGUGGAACGAGCUACCGGAGGAGGUAGUUGAGGCAGGGACCAUUGCUUUCGCUUGAGAAAAAUUGAGACAGGUACAUGGAUAGGAUCUUUUUUAGAGGGACAUGGAGCAAACGUAGGCAGGUGGAGCAGGUAAGUGGGGAAAUAUUUAAUAGAUAACCAUGGGGUAACUUUUUCGCACAGAGGGUGGUGGGUGUAUGGGACGAGCUAGGGCUCUGUACAACUGUCGAAUAAGAUUCCCUCUCAUCCUUCUAAAUUGCUCUUCAAUAAGAUAUCCUCUCAUCCUUCUAAAUUCCAGAGUAUACAAGCCCAGCCGCUCCAAUCUAUCAACAUAUGACAGUUCCGCCAUCCCGGGAAUUAACCUUGUAAACCAACGCUGCACUCCCUCAAUAGCAAGAAUGUCCUUCCUCCGGUUUGGAGACCAAAACUGCACACAAUACUCCAGAUGUGGUCUCACUAGGGCUCUGUACAACUACAGAAAGACCUAUUUGCUCCUAUAUUCAUUCCUCUUGUUAUAAAGGCCAACAUGCCAUUCGCUUUCUUCACUGCCUGCUGUACCUGCAUACUUACUUUCAUAGACUGAUGUACAAGGACCCCCAGAUCCCGAUGUACUUCCCCUUUUCCCAACUUGACGCCAUUUGGAUGGUAAUCAUUUAGAUAUUAUCAUUACAUAGCACACAGCAGGUGGUGGGGAGAAAUUCAAGAGCGGUGUUAAAGAGGCUUUUGGAUUGCACAUGGACAUGCAGAGAAUGGAGGGGUGGAUCACAUGCAGGCAGAGGAGAUUAGUUUAACUGAGCAUCAUGUUCAGCAUGAACAUUGUGGGCCGAAGGUCCUGCCCCUGUGCUGUACCGUUCUAUGUUCCACAGUUAAAGCUCAGCAAGCUCUCUUCAUCACCGUAGGAUUCACCAUCUCUACUAGGAACUGACUUCAUAGCUGUGUCAUUCCUAACUGUCACUAUAUGUCGUUGUCACUUGCGGGCGGAGCACCAAGGCAAAUUCCUUGUAUGUGAAUACUUGGCCAAUAAACUUAUCCAUUCAUUCAUACAUUCA